rnacentral:rRNA from 1 species
AUUACCGAGUUAUACAACUCAUCAACCCUGUGAACAUACCUAAAACGUUGCUUCGGCGGGAACAGACGGCCCUGUAACAACGGGCCGCCCCCGCCAGAGGACCCCUAACUCUGUUUUUAUAAUGUUUUUCUGAGUAAACAAGCAAAUAAAUUAAAACUUUCAACAACGGAUCUCUUGGCUCUGGCAUCGAUGAAGAACGCAGCGAAAUGCGAUAAGUAAUGUGAAUUGCAGAAUUCAGUGAAUCAUCGAAUCUUUGAACGCACAUUGCGCCCGCCAGUAUUCUGGCGGGCAUGCCUGUUCGAGCGUCAUUACAACCCUCAGGCCCCCGGGCCUGGCGUUGGGGAUCGGCGGAAGCCCCCUGUGGGCACACGCCGUCCCUCAAAUACAGUGGCGGUCCCGCCGCAGCUUCCAUUGCGUAGUAGCUAACACCUCGCAACUGGAGAGCGGCGCGGCCAUGCCGUAAAACACCCAACUUCUGAAUGUUGACCUCGAAUCAGGUAGGAAUACCCGCUGAACUUAAGCAUAUCAAUA